GACGAACGCUGGCGGCGUGCUUAACACAUGCAAGUCGAACGAAGAGCGAUGGAAGCUUGCUUCUAUCAAUCUUAGUGGCGAACGGGUGAGUAACGCGUAAUCAACCUGCCCUUCAGAGGGGGACAACAGUUGGAAACGACUGCUAAUACCGCAUACGAUCUAAUCUCGGCAUCGAGGAUAGAUGAAAGGUGGCCUCUACAUGUAAGCUAUCACUGAAGGAGGGGAUUGCGUCUGAUUAGCUAGUUGGAGGGGUAACGGCCCACCAAGGCGAUGAUCAGUAGCCGGUCUGAGAGGAUGAACGGCCACAUUGGGACUGAGACACGGCCCAGACUCCUACGGGAGGCAGCAGUGGGGAAUCUUCCGCAAUGGACGAAAGUCUGACGAAGCAACGCCGCGUGAGUGAUGACGGCCUUCGGGUUGUAAAGCUCUGUUAAUCGGGACGAAAGGCCUUCUUGCGAAGAGUGAGAAGGAUUGACGGUACCGGAAUAGAAAGCCACGGCUAACUACGU
rnacentral:rRNA from 1 species